CCUACGGGAGGCAGCAGUCGAGAAUCAUUCACAAUGGGGGAAACCCUGAUGGUGCGACGCCGCGUGGGGGAAUGAAGGUCUUCGGAUUGUAAACCCCUGUCAUGGGGGAGCAAAUUAAAAAGCGAGUACCACAAGAGGAAGAGAUGGCUAACUCUGAGCCAGCAGCCGCGUUAAUACAGAGGUCUCAAGCGUUGUUCGGAAUCACUGGGCGUAAAGCGUGCGGAGGAGGUUUCGUAAGUAGGGUGUGAAAGGCGCGGGCUCAACCCGCGGACUGCACAUGAUACUGCGAGACUAGAGUAAUGGUGAGGGAACCGGAAUUCUCGGUGUAGCAGUGAAAUGCGUAGAUAUCGAGAGGAACACUCGUGGCGAAGGCGGGUUCCUGGACAUUAACUGACGCUGAGGCACGAAGGCCAGGGGAGCGAAAGGGAUUAGAUACCCCGGUAGUC
rnacentral:rRNA from 1 species